GAGGUUAAGCGACUAAGCGUACACGGUGGAUGCCCUGGCAGUCAGAGGCGAUGAAGGACGUGCUAAUCUGCGAUAAGCGCCGGUAAGGUGAUAUGAACCGUUAUAACCGGCGAUUUCCGAAUGGGGAAACCCAGUGUGACUCGUCACACUAUCAUUAACUGAAUCCAUAGGUUAAUGAGGCGAACCGGGGGAACUGAAACAUCUAAGUACCCCGAGGAAAAGAAAUCAACCGAGAUUCCCCCAGUAGCGGCGAGCGAACGGGGAGGAGCCCAGAGCCUGAAUCAGCAUGUGUGUUAGUGGAAGCGUCUGGAAAGGCGCGCGAUACAGGGUGACAGCCCCGUACACAAAAGCGCAUGUGCUGUGAGCUCGAUGAGUAGGGCGGGACACGUGGUAUCCUGUCUGAAUAUGGGGGGACCAUCCUCCAAGGCUAAAUACUCCUGACUGACCGAUAGUGAACCAGUACCGUGAGGGAAAGGCGAAAAGAACCCCGGCGAGGGGAGUGAAAAAGAACCUGAAACCGUGUACGUACAAGCAGUGGGAGCACCCUUUGGGGUGUGACUGCGUACCUUUUGUAUAAUGGGUCAGCGACUUAUAUUCUGUAGCAAGGUUAACCGAAUAGGGGAGCCGGAGGGAAACCGAGUCUUAAUUGGGCGUUAAGUUGCAGGGUAUAGACCCGAAACCCGGUGA
rnacentral:rRNA from 1 species